rnacentral:tRNA from 1 species
GAGGGUAUGGCUCAGUGGUAGAGCACAUGCUUAGCAUGCACAAGGUCCUGGGUUCAAUUCCCAGCACCUCCA